AGAGUUUGAUGGUGGCUCAGAANGAACGCUGGCGGCAGGCUUAACACAUGCAAGUCGAGCGGGCCCUUUUCUAGCUUGCUAGAACAUGACGAGCGGCGGAGGGGUGAGUACCGCGUAUGAAUCUGCCUAGUAGUGGGGGACAACAUGUGGAAACGCAUGCUAUUACCGCAUACACCCUACGGGGGAAGGGAGGGGAUCUUCGGACCUUUCGCUAUUAGAUGAACCUGCCUGACAUUACCUAGAUGGUGGGGUGAAGGCCUACCAAGGCGACCAUCUCUAGCUGGGCUGAGAGGAUGAUCAUCCUCCCUGGGACUGAGACGCGGACCCUACUCCUACGGGAGGCAGCCUGGUGGAAUAUUGCACAAUGGGCGCAAACCUGAUCCAGCCAUGCCGCGUGUGUGAACAGGGCCUUAAGGGUGUAAAGCACUUUCAGGAGCGACGAAGGGCGCAUAGUUAAUACCUGUAUGUUUUGACGUUAACUCCA
rnacentral:rRNA from 1 species